AGCUAAUUUUGACAUUUACCUCAGAAAGGAGGCAUUCAAUUUUUAUUUAAAUUUUAUUUUAUAUGCCAUUUAUAUAUUUUUUUAUUAUUUUUAGCUACUCAAUUUUGCAUGCCUGCACUUUUAAGUUACAUAAGCCUUGCUUGUUCAAUAUUUGUUGUUAAAUCAAAACUUGUUUGGGUCCAUAUUAAAAGAUUCAUUUGUUCAACCUUGGCCCGCGGCUUUGUUCAAUUCAAAAUUUUGGCCCACUGUGUAUUUGAGUUUGACACCCCUGCUUUAACUGAUGAAA